rnacentral:rRNA from 1 species
GACGAACGCUGGCGGCGUGCUUAACACAUGCAAGUCGAGCGGAAAGGCCCUUCGGGGUUCUUGAGCGGCGAACGGGUGAGUAACACGUGAGUAACCUGCCCCAGACCUUGGGAUAACCCUCGGAUACGGGGGCUAAUACCGGAUACGACACAGCUUCGCAUGGCGUCUGUGUGGAAAGUUUUUCGGUUUUGGAUGGGCUCGCGGCCAAUCAGCUAGUUUGUGGGGUAAUGGCCUACGAAGGCGACGACAGGUAGCCGGCCUGAGAGGGCGACCGGGCACACGAGUACUAAGAGAGGGCGCAGUCGCGUACGGUAGGCAGCGGUGGGGAGUAUUACACAGUGGGCGGGAGCGUGUGGCGGCGGCGCCGCGUGAGUGAAGACCGCCUUCGGGUUGUAAACCUCUUUCGGCAGAGACGAAGCGUAAGUGACGGUACCUGCAGAAGAAGCGCCGGCCAACUACGUG